CGAAAGUUCACAGCUUGAACUCGACACCCCAAAAAACUUUAUAUUUUUUGUUGGCUGUUUUUAUCGGUUGCUGUUUGAUCUGAGUCUCCCUGGAGAAAAAAAGAAAAAAAAAACUGCGAUUGAAAUAGAUCAUAAUCGAAUAAACUCUGCCUCUACAACAUUAGAAGAUUUCCAAUUUGAGUACCAAGUUGAUGAUUUUUUUAAAAAACGGUCAUACUCAUACACAACCAACGAAUUAUGAAGAACUCGCCGACCGAAACCACAUUAGAACAAGUUUGUGAUGCUGAAUUACUGCAGCUAGAGGGAAUCAAAAUUGUGAAAACCCGAGCGGAACUACUCGAUGUUUUACUAAACGAUGAAAUCACUCUUCCACCGGGCAUCUAUCUCCUUUUUAAAACCGUAUCUAGAACAGCUCAAGAGAAGAAUCGUCCGGUUUCAUACGGUGGCAUUUUUCCAGAACCGGGUUGACUAUUCGUAACUGAAUGUUCUACCAGCUGUCUCGUAGAGAAACGAGAAUAUGAAUCCGGAAGAUGCGCAACAGUUCUAAGGAGUGAAAGUUCCGGAAAUGCAUCCGAAUCCUCGGCCAAGAAAUUAAAACCAUCUUCUUAAAAAAAGUUGAAGAGAAUAUGUUUCGGAAAAUAUUUACAAGAAAAGCUAAAAUUAAUAUUUCAAUAAACAUAUGUUUUAAACGAAAAACAUUUUUUGCAUUGAAGACAUUUAUUACUCUUUUUGUAUGUUUGUCUAGUUAAAAUAUAUAUCGUUUUCCGUUCAAACGGCAUUCUCGAUUUUGGGGUGUGAGAAUAGGACUUCAUUCUCAAGUUUGGGAAAACCCCCUUAAACUCAUUU